GGCCAGUUAGCUCCGUCGGUUAGAGCAUGCUGCUGAUAACACCAAGGUCACAGGUUCGAUCCCCGUUCAGUCCC
rfam:Apaloderma vittatum contig26748, whole genome shotgun sequence.